ensembl:lncRNA
AUUUUCCCUUUGCAGUUUGCUCUGGCUUGGUAAAGUCAUUGAAUUAUUCAGAGGAAGGCUCCACAGUAUUUUUACUGUAGAAGUUGCAGCUUAGACAAAAAUCUACUUCCAUUGUCUCCAAUAAUGAAGUUUCCAGGCUGAAGCAAUAGAAAUGUCAGCGAUGUGACAUCCCUGGAAUCCAUUCUCUGUUCUGAAAGGAAAGCUAGAUUUGAGUUUUAGAUUGUUGGAGAAUGAAGAUCCUCCACUAAAGCUGCAUCACCAGGAAAAUCCACCAGAGACUCUAGAGUACAUCAUGAAAAAUGCCGGGCUCUAUGAAGCACAAGUUGGAAUCAAGAUUGUGGGGAGAAAUAUCAAUAACACCAGAUAUGCAGAAAACACCACCCUAAUGGCAGAAAGCGAAGAGGAACUA